rnacentral:rRNA from 1 species
AUUGAACGCUGGCGGCAUGCCUUACACAUGCAAGUCGAACGGCAGCGGACCUUCGGGUGCCGGCGAGUGGCGAACGGGUGAGUAAUAUAUCGGAACGUACCUUUCAGUGGGGGAUAACGUAGCGAAAGUUACGCUAAUACCGCAUAUUCUGUGAGCAGGAAAGCAGGGGAUCGCAAGACCUUGCGCUGAUUGAGCGGCCGAUAUCAGGAUUAGCUAGUUGGUGAGGUAAAGGCUCACCAAGGCGACGAUCUGUAGCGGGUCUGAGAGGAUGAUCCGCCACACUGGAACUGAGACACGGUCCAGACUCCUACGGGAGGCAGCAGUGGGGAAUUUUGGACAAUGGGCGCAAGCCUGAUCCAGCCAUGCCGCGUGAGUGAAGAAGGCCUGGUU